rnacentral:rRNA from 1 species
CCUACGGGAGGCAGCAGUGGGGAAUAUUGCACAAUGGGCGAAAGCCUGAUGCAGCAACGCCGCGUGCGGGAUGACGGCCUUCGGGUUGUAAACCGCUUUCAGUAGGGACGAAGCUAACGUGACGGUACCUACAGAAGAAGGACCGGCCAACUACGUGCCAGCAGCCGCGGUGAUACGUAGGGUCCGAGCGUUGUCCGGAAUUAUUGGGCGUAAAGAGCUUGUAGGCGGCUUGUCACGUCGGAAGUGAAAACUCAGGGCUCAACCCUGAGCCUGCUUCCGAUACGGGCUAGCUAGAGGAAGGUAGGGGAGAACGGAAUUCCGGGUGGAGCGGUGGAAUGCGCAGAUAUCCGGAGGAACACCGGUGGCGAAGGCGGUUCUCUGGACCUUUCCUGACGCUGAGAAGCGAAAGCGUGGGGAGCAAACAGGCUUAGAUACCCGUG